AGGCUCUUCUUUGCUAAUUCAACUGCAUUUCGUAGAUUGAGCUCAUUAUGGAACUUCAAAGAACUAAAUGCAUGAAGUACCCAGCAAGACUGUAUUAUUAAAAAAGGCAAACAAUUGAUAUAGAAACAAUGAUGCUACUGAACUUAACAAUCCAAGAAAAGAAAUAAAAACCUUGCUCAUACCUACAAAAUAAAACGGUCACAUAUCAGUCUUCAAUUCCUGCAAAAUAACACUACCUUAGUAGAGCUCUGCCACAAAAUGAAAUCAAGAUAACCUGUACUUAGACUAUGGGCCAUACUGUAAAGUUUCAGACAGAAGCUUUUACUUGCUAAACCAAGAGCUCCUAAAGGGUGAAUAUUCAAAAUUAAAAUGUUACAACUGACAUAGAUUUUUUUCAAUAAAUGCUUUUAAAAUUAAAUUUGACAUUAUUACGGAGUUGAGUGACCAUGCAGCUUCUUGCAUAAUUCUUAGAUAUUACCAAUGGGCUGAACAAUGUUAUUUUUCCAAGUUUUUCACAGAAGAAUAGAAAAGAUCCAGAGAAGACCACCCACUUCAUUAUGAUCUCAAAGCCAAUGAUUAAAGUUAAGCUACUUUAAAUAGAGUGACUCUUGGCUCUCGGUGGCUCUAAAGACAAAUAAUCAUAUCUGAUACUGAGAUACUGGCUGCAUGAUCAUCAAUGUAAUAAACAGAUAAUUACCGUUCAAACAGCCGAGCUACAAUAUGCAGUGCCCACUUCUUACACUUCCACCAUACCAGUUCUGGUCUAUCAUCCUCAUCGAUGUGCAGAGUCUCCUAACAGGACAAAAUUACCAGAUUAAAGUUCUGCAUAGUAGAAGUAUUUAUGUGAAUAACAAAGGCAAGAUAAAUCUUGAUACAGGUUAAGUCAUAUUAAUGUGUAGUUAGAUUGCUAUACAAAUGAAAAUUCUUACUUUAUAGAUUGCUAGGUAGGAAUUAAAUAAGCAAAGUAAAUUUCAACUAACCAAUGCUGCUGUUCACAUUUACCUCCUAUCUUCAAAAGGCCUAAAUAAGUAGAGGACAAAAUACAAAACACCAUGGUUCCUUCAGGACACUCUGAGAUGAGGAAAGGGUUCUACAUUUUUAUCUGGGUGAUAACACAAGUGUAUGUCAAAAUUCACUGAACUAGUCAUUAAGUUCUGUGCAUUUAUGUAUGUAAGCUAAACGUCAAAAUACUUUGUCUCACAAUAUGGACAAGAGAAAUAAUACUGCACAUUUUAAGACAAACUAAAAUUUUAAUAGAUACAAGAAUUAAUGUGAUAAAUUAAAGAUAGUAUUAUUGCAGAUCAAAAUGAAACACUAUCUUUUCCCUAUCAAAUGGACAAACUUAGAAUUAAGUGUGUACCCAUAACAAGCAUCCUCAGUCACUGCUUAUUAAAGUGUAACUGAGGGCACACUUUCUUGAAGAGCACUCUGCAAGAUUAGUGAAAAGCCUUCCAUGUUUCUAGUUUAUCCAAAGAAAAUAAUCAUAUAUGUGCACAAAAAUUUAAGUACAUUCUUAAGAGUUAAAACACUAAAAAAUUAAAGCCUAAACAUCCAGCAAGUAAAACAUUCAACAAAAAUGACAGUAUAGGCAGGGUGCAGUGGCUCACGCCUGUAAUCCAGCACUUUGGGAGGCCGAAGUGGGUGGAUCACGAGGUCAGGAGAUCGAGACCAUCCUGGCCAACACCGUGAAACCCCAUC